GUUAAGUUCCUGUUGCCGCUCCCUGCUGCACUCACAGCUGCCGGCGACUGCACCUCGACUUUUACUACUGCUAUUGCUUUGUUCUGAUCAAGCUUCAGUCACCGACGAUUGGCUAGCCGCCAUUUCUGUGCAUCUGCUGCCGCUCAUCUCAAUCACUGUUGUCGUUCCUUUGUCGUCACAUCAAGUUUCAGCCUAGCCAACCGCCGUUCCUUUACUGCCGAGAUCAAACACCAUUUCUCUCACUUCUCUUUCUCAGUACAGGCUUGAAAAUGCCUAUCGGGACUCUGUUUUUUGUAGCUACUCUGGAAUAUUUAAGUGGAAUCAUGUGUUGUGCUUAUCAUUCAAUCACUAGCAGCCAAUGUCGGGGUUGUCGCGGAUAUCAGUGCUUCAGUUGAUUGGCUUAAGGAAAAUGGUUCCAAGAAGGUUGGCAUGGUUGGAUAUUGCAUGGGAAGUGCUCUCACUAUUGCAUGUUCUGCCAGGUUCUGCUUCCACCCUUUUUUAACAUUAAAAUUGAUGUGGGCAUUUUAAUUUUUUUUUACUUGGAGACUCCCUAAUUAAGAAUAAAAAUUUUAAUCAGAUGCAUGCCUACAAUAUCUGGAUCCAUAUGAUGUGAGAUGUGUUCUGAGGGAUCAUAUUGGAAGGAAUUUUUUUUUCAAUUAACGGGUGAAUGACAAUGGAAUACGGUCUACUAAAGAAAGGUGUUUGGUGCCCGAAAACACUUUGAUCUUUGUGAGUAAUUUCCAACACAUUGUUGAAUAGUAAACUUGUUUUUACAGCCCAAGUCUACGGAAUUCUCAAGAUGAUCAUUAAAGGUGCAUGCUUGAGUUGAAUAAUUGCUAGCUAUCUGGCAAUGCAUGUAUGACAUAAUUUGACCCCUCUAACAAUACUUUAAGGCUUGAUGACUUUUAUAAUAUUUAAAGAAUUGAUUAAAAGUCUCGAAUCUCCAAUGAAUUUUGAAUUAUUUGGAAAUGAAAGGUAAAAUUCAAAAAGAGGGCAAAAUUUGACCUCUCCAACAAUACUUUAGGACUUGAUGACUUUUACAGUAUUUAAAAUAACCUCCAGAGAUUUUUAGUGGCUAUUUUUACUGUAAAAUAGCCUUGCAGAUUUCCAGGGGCUGUUUUAAGUCAAAGCAACUCCCAAAAUUUUUUUUAGCUAGUUUGCAUUGAAAAUAUUUCUGAAGAUCGUUGAGGAAGGAGGGGAAUGAGAGCAAUAGUUUUUAGAAGGCUUAAUGAUGAAUUUGAUAAAUGUGACAUUUGUUAUGGGACUAAAGUGAAAGAAGUUUAUGUUGAGGCUAAAAGCUUGAGUGAGCUAAUGGAUAUUUUGAUUGCUUUUGGAUAAAAAUUAAGAAAUUGGAAGGAGUUCUGUACAAUUCUAUGUAAUUCAAGCUUAAAGAACAAAAACAUGAAAGCAAGUUGAUUUUCAAACUUGUUGUUGAGUAUAUACAUCUUUAAUAGCAUAGGCUAAUUUGUUAAUGAACAUUGUAAGUUGAUGAUGAGAUAUCUUAUCUUUCUUUUAUUCAAUAUAUGUGGCAUUAUUUUUGAAGUUUAACAAUAUUAAUCUUGUGAUUAACAGUUUAAUGGAGAGAAAGCAUACAUUCAGGAUGAACUAGAUGAGGUUCAUUUGGAGUGGGCUAACCAUUCUUCCAAAAUCCUUGUUUAUAGCUGGACUUUGUUGUUAGUUGUUACAAUUUGUUGAAAUUAAAGUUGUAAUGUCAAACUAUAUUGGUUCUGUUAAGGAUUGUAGUAUAAAUGCUAUGCAUUUGAUAACAUUGGGUAUUUUGAUUGAUUCUACAUAGAUUGGGUUGCUGGAUAUGGGUUGGAGUGUUGCUAGGUAUAUGGCUAGAAUUAGAGUGCUGUUGGAAGAUGGUAUUGCUGCUAGAAGUUUUGGAGGAAGUCAUGCUAGAAGUCUUCUUGUUGGAAUAUUUGCAUUAAUCGUUGGAAGUUUUGUUUGGUAACUUCGCUUGGUAGCUACAAUUUUAAUUGUUUUUCUUAGAGUUUGAUUGAAAUUUAACUGUUAUUUUAUACUUUGAAAUGGUUUUUUUUUCAAUUUGGAAAUUUUUAUUAUGUAUUAGUGGUGAUCACAUUGGAUAUUAGAUAUAUUUCUUUUAAAAUUAAUUUGUUGCAUUGAAUGGAUGUUAAUUAAUAUUAAUUGUUUUUAGUUUUUUUUAUGAUAUUCAUUUUAUUAAUUAAUUAAAUUUGUAAAUAGGAAUUCAUCAACAAAUUCUAAUUAUAAUAUAUUUUUUUUAAAUCAAAAUUUU
rnacentral:lncRNA from 1 species